rnacentral:rRNA from 1 species
GCUCCUACGGGGCGCAGCAGUAGGGAAUUUUCGUCAAUGGGCGCAAGCCUGAACGAGCAAUGCCGCGUGAACGAGGAGAGUCUUCGGAUCGUAAAGCUCUGUUGAAGGGGAAAAAGAGCGGAGAGAGGAAAUGAACUCCGAUUGAUAUUACCCUUCGAGGAAGUCACGGCUAACUACGUGCCAGCAGCCGCGGUAAUACGUAGGUGGCGAGCGUUAUCCGGACUGAUUGGGCGUAAAGGGUGCGUAGGCGGCCUGCUAAGUCUGGAGUGAAAGGUACCGGCUCAACCGGUACAGGCUCUGGAAAC